GGAGAGAUGGCUCAGUGGUUAAGAGCACUGACUGCUCUUCCAGAGGUCCUGAGUUCAAAUCCUAGGUACCACA
rnacentral:tRNA from 1 species